CUCGAAAGUCUUGAUCAGCACUAAGAAUUUAAGCUGUAAUAUUGGGGCUAAUGCCUGUGGCACCUGAGUAAACCACCACAGCUUAACUAUAAUAGCCUAAAUCUCAAGGUGCUUGGGAAUGAAUAUUCUUGAGAAUGAUAACAAUAUUACAGCUUAAAUUCUUAUCGCCCGUCAAAACUUUUGAAAGGAUCCGCCGUAUUCGUGAGAAGGAUAAUUUUCCUCACACCAAAAAUGCACAGAAG
rnacentral:sRNA from 1 species